CGUUCACUCUUUCUUAUUGUACAAGGCAAUUCUCUAUCUCUCUCAGUCUCUUCAUAACUAGUUAUUCACUUUACUAAGUUUUGGGCUGAAAUAUCGAGUUAACUUUUUCUUAUUGAAGAUUUCUGUUGUUUCUGAGUCUUUGAAAGCUUUGAAAAAUGCAGUGUAAGGACAUCUUCAGUUCUUUUUUGUUGGAAAACAACGCAACCCAACACUUUCUGGAGACAGUUGUAAGAAUUCUUCAAACAACACCAUAAAGUAUUUUAUUUCCAUUCAAAUUUGCGAGAUGAAAUCAUACUUUUCUCUAUCAAGUCAAAUAUUGUUGUUGAAAAAAGUAAUUCCAACAUGAAAACUAUUUCAUUCUAAAACUUUCCAAGAUCACACCUUACAAGCUCUCAGAGUGUAUGUAAAACUUUCCAUAAACUAUUUCUGUCUGUCUAUGUCUGUCAAUUAUCUUUUUUGUGCUAAUGGCUGCGACUAAAGAUUACAAUAUAUAGUAGAAAGAGUGAGGGAGGAGAUGUACUGCGAAGCAUGCACCUUCUACUAAUUGAUGAUUAUUCAACCCAUUUUAUGCAUUUUAAAGUGCUUAGAUCUUUAAUUAAUCAGCACAUAAUAUUAUUUUUCCAAUUUAUCAGUAAAAGGACUCUAUUACCAAAUCAGGAUAGGUAAAAAUGAAAAUUAUUCUUGCAUGUGAAUAUGUAAUUUAAUUUUUGUUGUGCCUCGCGUGUGUUUUGGUAAUCCUGAUCUCUUUCUUUUUUCUUUGCCAGGAGAUCCAAAAGUCCUUUAAGCUACUGUCUUUCAUGCUAUGACUCUGGAAUUCUUUUGGUCAGAUCAUGAUAAUUUGGCAAACUAGGAGAUGGUUACAGAUUUGUUGUGUUGCCCCCGUUCGUUCGUCGCUGCAUUAGAACUGCAGAUAAAUGUUUCGCCUUGAAAUGGGGCUUCUUCAAAUUGUGAGUUUUCUUGAUCAUUUUCAGUUCCAUUUUUGCAUAUUCUCUCCCCCCUGUCCAAUAAUAUUUUAAAUUGAUGUGGAUUAUCAGGAUAACAUGUUUCUCUAAACAUACAAAAUUGUGAGUUUUGAUGAUCCUAUUCGACUUCAAUUUUGCAUCUAAUCCUUUGCCUGCCCAGUAUUACUUUAACAAUGGUGGAUUUGCUUUGGAUUAUCAGGAUAAAACUCGAAAGUCGUAUUCUGUUUUGUUUAAAAAUCAAGAAAUUAUGUGGAGUUAGAUACUAUAUGUUUGGUGAUGAAAGUUAAGGUCACUUGAAAAAGUAAUUAUUUUUUUCCCCAGAAUAGUUCCCCUUUGAAAAAUGAGAAGUAUCUCUCAUGGAACCACAUUCAAGCCGUGGACCGAGAGGAAUCAGAAGAUUUUUCAAACCAAACUGUGUGAACCUAAGGUGGUGGUCAGGAGAAUUUUGCAGGAUAUAUUGUACAGAGGAUCACUCAAGAACAAGAUUAGUUGCUCUUAACUUCUACCCAUAGUUAGCUAUAGUUUUCCACUUGCACUAAGGAGGUUAUGAUGACAUUGUUAUAUGUUUUGCCACUGUGAGGUUGCCAUAUCAUCACAGUUUUUUUAGACUCUUGUACAGUUUUGCUACUUUGGUAAUAUAAAUGUUAGUUUAAUUGCCAAAAAAAAAAAGGUGUGUUGUAUAGCUCGCGGAGGGUGCAAACGUGCUGUGGUGCCUGCGAAUUAUUGGGAUCGAUAUUGACAGCAAGAAAUACUAUGUUUGUAUAACUCUUCUACAUCAUUUGAGAGUAUGGAUAGUUCGUUCAUAUUUCAUAUCAAUUGUCUGACCUAAUUUGAGUUGAAUAUUCUGGUAGCUUCCUUCUUUCAUAUUUUUAAUUGGAAGUAGAGGAAGUAAGGAAACUUAAAGGGAUGACAAGAUGAAUGGUGAAUGAAUUGACUUGUUGAUAAGUUGGUAUUUUAUCAACUUAUUUCUGCUUUAAUCUUAGAUUGUUGCUAUAUUUUGAUUGAAAAAAUAGUGCAUUUAAUAUCGUUUACUUCCAUUUUAUAGGUUCCUAUGAUUGAGAAGAGCCUUGGAAGAAACCAAGUGAAAAAACAAGUCAAAUAGAGGCCAAAUGGGAGAAAUGGCAAAAACUGGACAGUUUUGCAAAAACGUGACAGUUUUUCAAAUCUGAAAACUUGGGGCUUAGUUUGUUAUUUUUGGACUUGGAAAAAUUGGGCAACUAUAAAAGCAAGACUUGGUGAAAUUAUUUAUGAUCUUUUGGCCAUUUUAACACAAGUUUUGGAGACUAGGGUUCUUACACCCACACUUGGAGAUUGAAGAUUUGAAGACUUUGACGAGAAAUUUCUUACUCAUUUCUUCAAUUUCUUGUUGUGUAUUGAAUAUCUAAGUGUGUAGUAUUUAUUUUCUUCACUUGAAUCUUGUUUAUGGAAAUAUUCUAUGAUUAAAGUGUUGGAUGAAACUCUUGUUUUGUUUAUGUAUUGAAUGAUUUUUAUUGCUAA